GACGAACGCUGGCGGCGUGCUUAACACAUGCAAGUCGAACGGAAAGGCCCUGCUUUUGUGGGGUGCUCGAGUGGCGAACGGGUGAGUAACACGUGAGUAACCUGCCCUUGACUUUGGGAUAACUUCAGGAAACUGGGGCUAAUACCGGAUAGGAGCUCCUGCUGCAUGGUGGGGGUUGGAAAGUUUCGGCGGUUGGGUAUGGACUCGCGGCUUAUCAACUUGUUGGUGGGGUAGUGGCUUACCAAGGCUUUGACGGGUAGCCGGCCUGAGAGGGUGACCGGCCACAUUGGGACUGAGAUACGGCCCAGACUCCUACGGGAGGCAGCAGUGGGGAAUAUUGCACAAUGGGCGGAAGCCUGAUGCAGCAACGCCGCGUGCGGGAUGACGGCCUUCGGGUUGUAAACCGCUUUCGCCUGUGACGAAGCGUGAGUGACGGUAAUGGGUAAAGAAGCACCGGCUAACUACGUG
rnacentral:rRNA from 1 species